UUGAAUAAAUCUAUGGGUGGAGACAAUCUAGCUAAACAGGUCAUGGACAAUCUAGCUAAGAUGUCAUGGAUACAGGCUACUGUGAGGACAAUACCUCACAUAGCAUUUCCAAAAAAUGUAGCAGUGUAAAUGUAGCUAAACUGGGAACAUUCUUUGGCUAAGGUCAAUCCUGGUUUAAUGAGGGAAUAAUCUAGAAUACAGCCUGGAGAGCCUCAUUGCUCCUCUGGGCCAUGGUGAGAUACCGGUGGGGCCUUCGUUGGGAAAGCCUGCUGAACACCAGCCCACCUGUGUGUGCGGAGCCCCUGCACUCCACCAACCCCCGGGAGGGGAGGGCCGUGUGGUCACAAUGCAGAGGGCUGUCUGGAUGUUCAGUAGUCAGAUGACAUCAUCUGGAACAGAUGAGUAAACGGGUUCAUCAGCUCUUCUCCCCACACUCUGAGCCACAGCAACAGUUGAAAAUGAUCCACCUCUUGGAGAAAAUAUACAAGGUACAAGACGGAACAACACAGAAUCCCAAGCUUUGUCCUGGAAGGGGGAAUGGUGAACUAUGUGGAAGCAGCAGUGAGAUAGACUAAAGCCAGCAUUUUAGAUCUCCAAAUGAAACUAAAUCAGAAGGUGCUGGUGUGUGGCAGAGAAGGAUAAUGACAGCACCGGAAGCUGAUUGGCAGCGACAGGCAUGCAAACAGGACAGCGGCAGCUCCACACAGACACGUUAGUUGAUUUGAUCAAACGUUAUGGGGACAAAAAUGAGUCAGUGGAGGAUUCACGAUUGGCACAGUCCAGGACGGCCACAGAAUUGUCUGUUGACCUCUCAACACACAAGACUGAGAUGGAGACGCUAAGGUCACGUCAGGGAGGAACCUUACCCUUGAAGGGGGAAGGUGAGGACUUACCCGGCUCCUGGAGUCCACAUUUAAGAGACACACCCCACAAGCCAGCUCCUGAGCGUUUUUAAUCCCAGGCCGUAACAUACAGGAGGAAAAAUCCAGGGAGUUUUCAUCUGGCUGAGGAUGAACAGCAGCACCAGAAGAGGAGGGCUGGACGCCGACUGGAGGAAGGCUGGAGAUCUAGUUUGCAAAGCGUUCAGCACAGUGAGAGCUGACUGCCACCAAAACAAGGGACCUUCGGAUCUAAACACAAAGUGGGAGGCCUGUAAUUGCUCUACCGUCCUGGGCAUAAACCGAGGGGGAAGUCAGAGAAAGUGACUUGACUUCAGGUUGACAGUCCGCCAGGACAAGCUCCUGCUGCUCUUCUCAUUAACCUUAGGCUCUGCCAAUCUACUCCCUAGCAACGGCCUUUGUACACCUUCGGUUUCCCCUAACUCACUUUCUCAGGGUAGGAUGGAGCACAGAGCAUGCCGGAGGAUGCCUCUGGUCCUUGCCUGCUUCAGGACAGGACGGCGGCAGAGUGAAGCUGUCCAGUCGCUGUGUAGAUUUAAUGCAGCUAAAGACCCUACCAUACAGUUCAGCCACCGGAUAACCCAUCAGAACGACUGAGGCGUGGCCACGACACCAACAAGGUUUUUGGGAAAGGGUUCAAGUGUGUGAAGGCAAUGAGAAUUCUCUACCAGAGGGAAAAUGUAUUUCCCAUUACAAAUGCAAUAAAUA